AACAGGGAAAUGGUCCCAAUAGUUUUUCCACCAUUCAUUUUUCCCAUAGGGGAUUUUAGGAACACUUAAAAUAAGGGCUGUGUUUCGUUUAGGCUUACCCUGGCGUGAUGUUUUGAUAACCGUGUAAAUCUCUCUUGGACAAGGUGACUUUUAUCAAUAUAAUUUGCCUGUAUUUACCCCCCAAAAAUGAAAUGCUAAUUAGCUGCUAAUGUGGCUAUCAUAAAUAACUACAAAUGCCAUGAUGAUCUGGACGAGACUCGAGGCAACUGUAAGAAUCUCUGGAUUAACUAUCUAAUGUUAGCUAAACAUAGUAAUUAAUAAAUUGGCAAAAUUUCUUUAAAUGGACAAUUCUGUGAACUGCCUUUUGCAAGUUUUAAAUUGACACAAUACCUGUUAGGUGUCAGCUAGAGAUGACGUGCAGGAGCUUGCAGGGAUUUGUAGUUUUGGUCUACUUCGAUGCUAAUUAACAUUUUCGAAUCUGAGAGUGAGUGGAGCCAAAUAUAUUGAUAAAAGUCACUUUGUCCGAGAGAGAUUUACAUGGUUAUCAAAACCUCACUCCAGGGUAAGCCUACAUGAAAGACAGGACUUAUUUUAAGUGUUUCUAAUAUCCCCUAUGGGAAAAACGAUUGGAACAAUUUCCCUGUUUGACCGCUAGGUUUCAUGGGUAUUAUGACACCACCAUUGUGGGGCUCUAUUCAGUACGUUUUUAGAUCUGUUAUAUACUCUGAGAACUUCUGCAAUACUGAAUGAUUAUGCGAAAUACAAGACCUGAGCCCUAGGACCAUGCCUCAGGACUACCUGGCAUGAUGACUCCUUGUUGUCCCCAAUUCACCUGGCCGUGCUGCUGCUCCAGUUUCAACUGUUCUGCCUGCGGCUAUGGAACCCUGACCUGUUCACUGUGAUUACUAUUAUUUGACCAUGCUGGUCAUUUAUGAACAUUUAAACAUCGUGGCCAUGUUAUGUUAUAAUCUCCACCCAGCACAGCUAGAAGAGGACUGGCCAUCCCUCAUAGCCUGGUUCGUCUCUAGGUUUCUUCCUAGGUUUUGGCCUUUCUAGGGAGUUUUUCCUAGCCACCGUGCUUCUACACCUGCAUUGCUUGCUGUUUGGGGUUUUAGGCUGGGUUUCUGUACAGCACUUUGAUAUAUCAGCUGGUGUAAGAAGGGCUAUAUAAAUACAUUUGAUUUUAUUUGAUUGUAGAAUUUAACAGCUUUUUUCUGGACUUUGAUAACUAGUGGGUAUAGUCUUAAGUCUGCUCUGCAUGCAUUGUUUGGGGUUUUGCGUUGUACACUAAGUAUUAUUUUGCAGAAUUCUGCAUGCAGAGUCUCAAUUGGGUGUUUUUCCCAUUUUGUGUAUUCUUGUUUGGUGAGUGGAACCCAUACCUCACAACCAUAGAGGGCAAUGGGUUCUAUAACCGAUUGAAGUACUUUUAGCCAGAUCCCAUUUGGGAUGUUGAGCUUUAUGUUCCUUUUGAUGGCAUAGAAGGCCCUUCUUGCCAUGUCUCUUAGAUCGUUCACAGCCUUGUGGGAGUUACCUGUGGUGUUGAUGUUUAGGCCGAGGUAGGUAUAGUUAUUUGUGUGCUUUAGGGCAACGGUGUCUAGAUAUCAUUUUAUUUGGUGUCCUGGCUACUGGACAUUUUUUGGAACACCAUUAUUUUUUGUCUUACUGAGAUUCACUGUCAGGGCCCAAGUCUGACAGAAUCUGUGUAGAAGAGUGCUAGGUGCUGCUGUUGGUCCUCCUUGGUUG
rnacentral:lncRNA from 1 species